GAUGAACGCUGGCGGCGUGCCUAAUACAUGCAAGUCGAGCGAACAGACGAGGAGCUUGCUCCUCUGACGUUAGCGGCGGACGGGUGAGUAACACGUGGAUAACCUACCUAUAAGACUGGGAUAACUUCGGGAAACCGGAGCUAAUACCGGAUAAUAUAUUGAACCGCAUGGUUCAUUAGUGAAAGACGGUUUUGCUGUCACUUAUAGAUGGAUCCGCGCCGCAUUAGCUAGUUGGUAAGGUAACGGCUUACCAAGGCAACGAUGCGUAGCCGACCUGAGAGGGUGAUCGGCCACACUGGAACUGAGACACGGUCCAGCCUCCUACGGGAGGCGGCAGGAGGAAAUCUUCCGAAAUGGGCGAAAGCCUGACGGAGCAACGCCGCGUGAGUGAUGAAGGUCUUCGGAUCGUAAAACUCUGUUAUUAGGGAAGAACAAAUGUGUAAGUAACUAUGCACGUCUGGACGGUACCUAAGCAGAAGGCCACGGCUAACUACGU
rnacentral:rRNA from 1 species